rnacentral:rRNA from 1 species
UCGGAUGUGAAAUCCCGGGGCUCAACCCCGGAAGUGCGUUUGAUACUGGAUGGCUUGAGUGUGGGAGAGGGAAGUGGAAUUCCUGGUGUAGAGGUGAAAUUCGUAGAUAUCAGGAGGAACACCGGUGGCGAAGGCGGCUUCCUGGACCAAUACUGACGCUGAGGCGCGAAAGCGUGGGGAGCAAACAGGAUUAGAUACCCUGGUAGUCCACGCCGUAAACGAUGAUCACUAGGUGUCGCGGGUAUUGACCCCUUGUGUGCCCAACCUAACGCUUUAAUCUCCCCCCCGGGGGAAUACGGCCCCAAGGUUAAAACUCAAAGGAAUUGACGG